UACGGAGGGGGCGAGCGUUAUUCGGAAUUAUUGGGCGUAAAGGGCGCGUAGGCGGCUGAACAAGUCAAAGGUGAAAUCCCUCGGCUCAACUGAGGAACUGCCUUUGAAACUGUUCGGCUUGAGGCCGGGAGGGGGUAGCGGAAUUCCCAGUGUAGCGGUGAAAUGCGUAGAUAUUGGGAGGAACACCAGUGGCGAAGGCGGGUCGUCUGGGCCGAUACUGACGCUGAGGAGCGAAAGCGUGGGGAGCGAACAGG
rnacentral:rRNA from 1 species